GGUGGUUUGCGCAUUGGGAAGCGCGCACCGUCUUGCAACGUGAUGCCGCGGGUUCGAUCCCCGUAUCCCACCA